UAAUACAGAGGUCUCAAGCGUUGUUCGGAAUCACUGGGCUUAAAGGGUGCGUAGGCGGCUUGGUAAGUCAGAUGUGAAAGGCGGGGGCUCAACCUCCGGACUGCAUCCGAUACUGCCAAGCUAGAGUACUGGAGAGGUGUCUAGAAUUCUCGGUGUAGCAGUGAAAUGCGUAGAUAUCGAGAGGAAUACCAAUGGCGAAGGCAGGACACUGGACAGUUACUGACGCUGAGGCACGAAGGCUAGGGUAGCGAACGGGAUUAGAUACCCUGGUAGUCC
rnacentral:rRNA from 1 species